AUGGAAGCAGAACUCACAGCACUAGAUACAGCUACGGUUGAAGCAGAUUGGCUUCGCCGGCUCUUGAAUGACUUGCCGGUUGUUGAGGAACCUAUACCGGGUGUCCUUAUGAACUGCGACAAUCAAACUGUGAUCACGAAAGUGAGCAGUUCAAAGGAUAACAUGAAGUCAUCAAGACACGUUCAGAGAAGGUUAAAAUCUGUCAGGAAAAUGAAAAACUCCGGAGUUAUCAUGUUAGAUUAUAUCCAAACGUGUGAAAAUCUGGCAGAUCCUUUUACCAAGGGUCUAUCACGUAAUGUGAUAGAUAAUGCAUCGAGGGAGAUGGGUAUGAGACCCACAAUAUGA
rnacentral:rRNA from 1 species